rnacentral:rRNA from 1 species
GACGAACGCUGGCGGCGUGCUUAACACAUGCAAGUCGAACGGAAAGGCCCUGCUUUUGUGGGGUGCUCGAGUGGCGAACGGGUGAGUAACACGUGAGUAACCUGCCCUUGACUUUGGGAUAACUUCAGGAAACUGGGGCUAAUACCGGAUAGGAGCUCCUGCUGCAUGGUGGGGGUUGGAAAGUUUCGGCGGUUGGGGAUGGACUCGCGGCUUAUCAGCUUGUUGGUGGGGUAGUGGCUUACCAAGGCUUUGACGGGUAGCCGGCCUGAGAGGGUGACCGGCCACAUGGGGACUGAGAUACGGCCCAGACUCCUACGGGAGGCAGCAGUGGGGAAUAUUGCACAAUGGGCGGAAGCCGGAUGCAGCAACGCCGCGUGCGGGAGGACGGCCUUCGGGUUGUAAACCGCUUUCGCCUGUGACGAAGCGUGAGUGACGGUAAUGGGUAAAGAAGCACCGGCUAACUACGU